CCUACGGGAGGCAGCAGUGGGGAAUAUUGGACAAUGGGGGCAACCCUGAUCCAGCAAUGCCGCGUGAGUGAUGAAGGCCUUCGGGUUGUAAAGCUCUUUCAGGUGGGACGAUGAUGACGGUACCACCAGAAGAAGCCCCGGCUAACUUCGUGCCAGCAGCCGCGGUAAUACGAAGGGGGCUAGCGUUGUUCGGAAUUACUGGGCGUAAAGCGCACGCAGGCGGUGUGAUCAGUCAGAAGUGAAAGCCCCGGGCUCAACCUGGGAACUGCUUUUGAUACUGUCACGCUAGGAUCCGUGAGAGGGCAGUGGAAUUCCGAGUGUAGAGGUGAAAUUCGUAGAUAUUCGGAAGAACACCAGUGGCGAAGGCGACUGCCUGGCACGGCAUCGACGCUCAUGUGCGACAGCGUGGGGAGCAAACAGGAUUAGAUACCCUUGUAGUC
rnacentral:rRNA from 1 species